AAAUAAAAUCGAAUCCGUUGGGCUUAACUACUUGCACGCGGUCCGCUUGAUAUGUUUAUCUAAAUACUUUAUUAUCUAUUACAAAAAAAAACUGUUAGCCCAUUAAAAUACAAAUAGAAAGAAAAAUUAGAAUAAACAAAAAUAAACAAGAUAUCUAAGGAAAAUUAAAUUUCUUAACUCCACAACAUAAAUAAGUUUUUGUUUCUUUUAGCGAUUUUAUAAUCUAACUCUAAGAGCAAAAGAAGAAGCAAAUCUUCUAAGCAAUUAAUGUGUUAACCUUCAUUUCCUCUGUAUCUACUAAUUUAAUUGGCUUAUGGAUGAUCUUUGGCUUUUGUUUUUCAAUUUCUUAUAGAUUACUAGGGGAAGUCCGCGCUUCGCGCGAGAUUUUGACGUAAUUAAGCUUCUAGAUUGAUAUUUUUUUUUUAGUUUCAAAAGAUUUGUUAUCAAAUUUUGUGAAACUUUAUUUACAAGUGAUCUUUGUCUAUAUAACAUGUUACAGUAUUGAGGGCCAAAUUAGUUCUUGUUGAAUAAAUUGCAUAAUUAUAAAGUUGUGAUUCUUUGAAUGAAAAAAAAUAAAAAAUUAGACGAAUCAUCUACUUUGAUAGUUUUGUUUCUUUGAGGGUCAUCCAUUAUCAUAUGUUUUCUUUGUAGUCUUGUUGUGUAUAGCGGUUGAUCAAAACUUUGCACUUAAUUGCUUAAAUUUAAAAAUGCAAGAGAUGAUGUUACGAUGUCAUUUUUUUUCAAAAAAAAAGUGUGUCUAUAUUUGUGAUACUAAUAUGGAUGGUAUUUUACUUUUGAUUUCGCAGAUAGUUUUACCCUUUUUUCAAAAAAAAAAUGCUUUGAUUAUGUAUAAUCACUAAUUGUGCUUUUCCAUCAAUUUCAUAUUUGUUUUACAUAAUUAAGUAUUUAGGUCGAUAUUUUUUCUUUUUUCGAAAGAUUAGUUAUCUAUUUUUUUGAAACUUUAUUUACAUGUGAUAUUUGUUUAUACAACAUUUUACAAUAUCGAGAGCCGAAGUAGUUGUGGUUGACUAAAUUGUAUAAUUACUUAGUUGUGAUUCUUUUAAUGGAAAAAAUAGAUGAUACAUUUACUUUUGUUUUUGUUUCUUUGAGGUCAUUCACUAUCAUAUGUUUUCUUUGUAGACUUGUUGCGUAUUGCGGUUGGUCAGAACUUUGAAAUCAUUUGCUUAAAUUUAAAAGUGCAAAAGAUGAUGUUACAAUACUAUUUGUUUGUUUUUUAAAAGUUUGUUGAUAUUUGGUGAUAGUCAUAUGAAUGCUAUUAUAUUUAUUUAUUUCUUAGAUAGUUUUACCUUUUAAAAAAUGAUUAUGUAUAAUCACUGAUUGUGUUUUUCAAACCAUUUUCAUAAUAAGUUUUUUUUUUCCGUUGGUCUGAGUUUGAUGAAACGUGAGAAUAGUAUCAUAAAUGGAUUUUAUUUCCUAAUUUUGAUGUUAUGAUUUUUAGUUAUUCUUGAAGUUUAUUUUCAGUAAAUUUUUUAUUUGUUAUAUCUUAUAAUUUGUAGUUAUAAAAUACUUUGUAAAAAAAUUUUGUUUUGAUUAUUAAUCAUUGGUUAUGGUUUCUAUUUUUUUUGUUAAUUUAUUUGACUUGAGCAGCAAAAUAUAAGAAAAGUUGAAAAAUUCAUGAGAAUCCCUUUAAAAAAUAUGUAAUUAGAUUUUUCAAGUUUAUCUAUUUAUUUCUAAAUUUUAAAUAAAAAUAUAAGAAAAGUUGAAACCCUUCUUUUAGCUGUGUCUCUCAGACUCAGAGGGCAAGAUGAAACAAAGCUAAAUAUACAUUUUCAAUGUCAAAGAUUUUUUAUAUACAUUGUCAUUGUGUUUGGGGUGUUAUUGUCAACGAAUUUGACUUAUUCACGACUAUCUAUUGCUCUGAUUGUUGAAUGGUUACAUGUUUAAAAACUUUUAUAGUUAGACAUACCAAAAACUAAAAAUGUAAAGUUUAGAACGUUAGUGUUUCAAGAAAAAGAGAGUAAAGUUUAGAACGUUCAUAUAGUCUACAGAGUUACUAAUAAAGUAUCUAUAUUCUAUAUCUAAUGGUAUAUAAGAAAUCAACCGAGAAUACGGUACGUGGUGAUGUCAUCAUCAUAAUGGUAAUUCUCCAACUCGCAAACGAAAAAAAGUAAAAUUAAAACACGUUGAUUAUUAUUUUUCUAAUCUUAAAAAACGUUGAUUAUUAUUUUUCUAACCUUGAUCUUUAUGGAUUAAGUUGAGUCGGCUAGGUCGUGGCCGAAACUCACGAUGGAGACAUUUAUGAAAAGAUGACGGUUUAACCAUACUCUCCGUCAAGUACCAACAUAUGAUACUAUGCAACAGCUUGGCUAAUCUGUUCAAAAGUUUUAGUAGGUAUUCCGGUGAAGCGACAGAGCUCAGUUGUACAAGAUGUCGACUGAAUCCUAUUAGAGCCCAAAAGAAGAAGCCUAAUGCAAUCUUCAGAAGCCCAAAGAAGUGACAACAAAUUCAAGUGUUAAGGGUUCUAGAGUUUCAUAUAAAUAUGACUGUUAUGAGAAUGUGUUUUGUAACCUUGCUGCUCAUAGAAGCAGCCUCCAUUAAAAACUUUAUGAAAUCAAACAUUUGUUUUAGUUCUCGAAGACAAACACAAAGCUUCUCCCUUUCUUUAUUUUUUUUGCAUAUUAAUAAAGCUUUAAUAAGCUAUUUCAAUUCAUCUUUAUAUUCUAUCAAUAAAGCUCAUUUGAGAAAAUCUACUCUUGUUUUGAGAUUGUCUACAUGGUAUCAGAGCACCAGGGAUUAGAUCUUGGUGUCUAUACGCUUCAUCUCAACUUCUCACAAGCUCCAUCAGUCAUCUAUUUUUCCUCUAAAAAAAAAGGAAGAAGAACCAGCGACCAAGACAGAUCCUAUCAACACUGUCCUGACCAAAACCCAGACUUGCGUUUUAUUUGAAGAAGCAGGCUUGCCAAGUUGUCUCCUUCCUGUCGGCUGGCACAAAAGCAGGGGAACAAGUUUGAGAUCCCAAUGAAGAAGAAGAAGAGUUAAAAGGUGGAAGCUUUAAUCAAGUGACAGCUUCAAAAUUGCAAAGCUUGUGGAGUUGGUGCUAUAAAUGACGGUAACGUUUCCCCCUUUUCUUGGAGAUAGAACGUGUCAUAUGGCUAGUUUAGAUGAUUUCUGGAUUAGUUAUAGCUCGUGGAAUGAGAAGAAGCUGCUACUGUGAAAAUUGCUUGGUUUGAUGGUUCUGUUGGCUGUAUAAGAGUUAUCGGUAUUGGAUUUCAUGAGAUGUUAUUGGUGCAAGUUUGUUGAGAUGCUUUGGAAAUAAUAUUAAAGAUGUGGCUGAUAACUGAAAGGGAAGGUUAGAGUUGAAGAAUUUCAGUAGUUGAAGAAUUUCAGUAGUUGUGGACAUGUCUUUUGUUUGCUAAGUGAUGGUGCAGGACAACCAAGAGUUUUGUGAAGAACAAUGGUUGAAAAUACCUCUGAGAGAUUAUACUAAACUCUCCAAGUUCAAGAGAAACCUCUGACUACUUUAGGAGGUUGCUUACAUCUUCAUGUUUGAUUCAGCUGCUCACAUGCCUGUCCAGCCAUCCAAAGUCAUUCUCAUGAUCAUUCAAACUUGUCAGCUUUGUUUUCGCCCGCUGCCAAGUUUGCGGGGGAGUAUUAGAGCCCAAAAGAAGAAGCCAAUGCAAUCUUCAGAAGCCCAAAGAAGUGACAACAAGUUCAAGUGUUUAGGGUUCUAGAUAGUUUCAUAUAAAUAUGACUGUUAUGAGAAUGUGUUUUGUAACCUUGCUGCUCAUAGAAGCAGCCUCCAUUAAAGACUUUAUGAAAUCAAACGUUUGUUUUA